UCAUAUUCUUCAAAAAUAUAGGAGAAAUUUUGGAGAAAACUUCUCUCCCCCCUCCCAACCGGUUUCCUAAAUCAGGGAUUUCAUUUUGGGUUUUUCGCACCAUUUGUGUCCAUCGACGGCAGCCCCUCCAUAGGUCUUCGAUAGGUUUCACCAAGUGAGAUUUUGUUAGAGAUUUGGAAAGCAAUUUAGGGAAAAUCAGUUCGGUGAGUUUCUUUCAUUUAUGCUUUGUUUAAUUUAUGUGAUAUUCGUACUCUGCAAUGAAGUCUUUGUGCUAUGUUCUCUGAGUUGGGUUUUCUGUUGUUACUCGCUUUGAGCCAUUGUGAUUUUGUAAUUUGAGCAACAAUGAUUCUGUGAUUUGAGCCAUUGUGAUUCUGUGAUUUGAGCCACUGUGAUUCUAUACUCUCUAAGUUGGACUUGAGUCAUUGUGAUGAUAUAAUUUGAGCCACUGAUGUGUUAAUUCUAUGAUUUUCAUUAUCUCCAAUAUCAUGGUGAUUAGCAUGAUUAUUUGAUUUGAGGAAGCUGUUGCUGUGAUUUUUGGAUUAUAAGGAAGUUGUUGCUAUGAUAUUUGGACAAUAUUUGUUGCUGGGAUAUUUAGUUUACACUGAUGUUAUUUGUGAUUUGUUGAUUAAUGUUGUGUUCUUGGCCAUGUUCUUGUUGUUCAUUGGUUAUUUUCUUUUUUGUUUAGUUAUACCUUUGUCCUUUGUAGCUUUUGGUGUUGCUUUAGGGCUCUCGUUAGGGCUGCGUUUGUAGUGUAAGGUUGUGAUGAUGGUUCAAUUUUUUUUUAUUGGAAGUCUGAAACCACAAGUGCUGUGAAUUGGGCUUGGUUAAUAUGGCAGGGUAACCUGGAUGACCAUCUUUAUUGUGAUAGUUUCACAAAGGCAACCAGUGUUAAAUGUGUCGCAGCUAUUCAAGCUUGCGCUCUUUUCCUAAGCAUGCUAUAAAAAAAAAAACCAUUCUAUGUAUCAUAGAAAAAUAUUUGUAAAACUUGGUUGUUACUUAUCCCCUUUUUACUUAUCCCCAAUUUGUUAUAUGUUGUAAUGUGGUCCCUGAAUCAAUGCAACAAUGCAAUUCUACCUAGCGAGAAAAAGAAAUACUUAGGACAGCUUCAACCUUGUUGCAUUAGGGGGCUCUUCCUGAGUUUAGAUAAUGUUUGAAACGUUUAGUCUAGAAAAUGGCCAUGGAUCCUACAUUUUUAUGAAGAAUAAAGGUUUUGAAUUGUAAUAAUCACUACAGUUCAAGCUUCACCCACUCACCAUUAUCUGACUCUUGUAAAAGGGGAGUUGUGUGUGUAAGCUGAGAGGGAAUCCUUCAUGAAGCAAAGAAUAAUUAUUCUAAACUGUUUUUUGUAUUGGAUUUGUGUGCUUACUAGUAUAAGCAUCUUGAAGUCUUUUACAACUAAUAUGGGUUUAAGGUUUUACUUUUGAGUAGGGAUCUUGAAUAAUUAUUUUGAACUAUUUUAGAUUUUAAAACUAAUGAUUGAGACUAUCUUAUCAAAUUGAAUCUUUGUGAAUAAAUGAUGAAACUUUCAUUUUGUAAACUUAUCAUGUUUGUCUUAGAACUUUGGAGUAAUUAUUUUAACUAUAUUACGUGCGUCACAACCAUUGAAGUUUCUUGUGACUAUCAACCUUUUUAUCUCAUCUUUGUAAUCCAUUCUUAAGAGCAGUCUGUGUGUUUCUACUGAGAUAGAUUUCAAAACCAAUUUCUCUCAUGAUUAUUUUUUCAUAUUUUUUAUUUUUUUUAGCAAUCUUUUUUUUUCUUGGGAUGAGUGACUUUCCUUCUUAAGAGGGGGGAGGAGUAAUCUAUCUGCAUUUGUUUAUUUAUUAAAUUUAUUAAUUUGCACUUGUUUAACUUUCUCAAUGAAUCUUUCUGAGCAAGUAGCUGAUAGUUGAAUAUUCUUCUUUGGCACACCCUUCUUUUUCUCUCUCUCUUGUUUGCAAGCCUUUUGUUUUUUUUGUUUUUUGUUUACAGCCUUGCUCAACUCUCAUACUUAUUGUUCUGGGUUUCUGUGGAUUUCUGUUUUUCUCCUUUUGCUUGAAAAUAAGUGAAGCACACAUUGCUGGCACAUAAACUAUAAUUUUUGUUAUUGUUUUGAUUAACUCAUUAUUCGUUUCAGAUGUGUUUCUGGGGAGGUGAAUUGUAGUCUCUUCUUGUGGUUCUUCAGUUACCUACUCCACGAGUUGAACUGAGUUGAAUCAUUAAAUCUUUAUCCAAGUUUUCUUACCUCUUCUACUUUUUGAGAAAACCCAUCCACUAGUUUGCAAUGUGUUGCACCCCUUUUAUUGUUUGACCAGAACCUCAUCCAUUAAGAUUCAUGUGUUCCAUGAUGUUCUUGUUUGACCCUUUCAUUGUUAUUUUUUCCAUUUAGCAUGUUAUUUUGUUCCAUUUAGCAUGCUAUUCUUUUCCAUUUAGGGGGCUCUUUGUUCCAUUUUCUAUACUGUUUUUAGAGCUUGCUUUGCUACCUCAUGCAUCCUGAUUGUUAGUUGGAUUUGUUUGUUGGCAAUUAAAUUAUAUAGCCUUCGGCUGUGAUGAUGGCAAGUUGAGUGGGGACAAAGGAAAAUUGGCACAUACUCAAUGGUAGGGUAACCCGGGGGACCAAUGAAUAUUGGCAACCGAUAUUGCAGCCAUUGAAGAAAUUGCCAUUUCCUAUAUGUCACCAUUUAUUUCCUGAGACGGUUUGCAAUGUCUUGUCCCAAUUGCUUUUGAGCUUCUAACAUGUUUAGUUGAACUGCUCAUUAUCUACAAUUAGUAUAGCCUAAUGGAUUAACAAGACCAUAGAUAUAUGUUCUUCAUGAACCUCCUCAAUGAGGACCCUAAGGUUGAUCGGAUUGACUUGAGUCAAACUCAUCACUCUCCAGUGAUGCUGGAAGACUCUCCUCCACCCCAAUUAAACAUUCUUUUCGGGAAAAAAUCAAUAAGGGGUGCAAAUUUUACUCAAGAAGAAGACAAACUUGUCUCCGCAUGGUUUAAUACUAGUGUAGAUGCCAUCCAAGGAACCGAUAAAAAACAUGCCAAACUUUUGGAGAAAAUUAGUUUAUACUUUAAUCAGUAUAAACAAAGUACAAUGGACUGGACUGUUGGGUCCUUAAUACAUUGGUGGUCUGUGAUUCAAAAAGUGACCAACAAAUUUUAUGCGAAGACAGCACAAGUUGAAGGGUUGAAUCAAAGUAGCAUGACCGAGCAAAACAAGGUAUAUCCAUCCACUAGUUUCAAUCUCUUGUACAUACUAUUUUAUUUAAUUCUUAGUCAACUUUGCUAAUUAUUUUCUGUUUGGUUCUAUUUUGCAAGUUUGAAAAAAUGAAAAUUAUGUACCAAUCACUUGAGAAAAGUAGCUUUCCUUUUGAACAUUGUUGGCACCUGUUGAAGGACCAAUUAAAAUUGAUUUAGCGUUACUGAAAGGAAAGUCCAAAGCCAAGAUCUACGACUUUUGUGAUCCCGACUCAUACCUCUGUAAGAGUUUGAUUUAAACUCUUUGUCCCAUACACUCAUAUCCUAUUGGGUUUAAGAUAGUUAAAUUACUAUCUCUUAA